CACGUAUCUGUGCUUUUUCUAAAAAGUUGAAGAGUGUAACGUUCCAUUAUAGGAACGAAUAGCGCGAAGAUUAUAAAGAAAGAGGAAACGGACGCGGCGAGUUUUGUUCAUGCCGAGUGCAGGUCGAUGUUUCAUCUUUUACUUCGUGUUGGUGUUCGUCGUAUGUCUGGCUAAAGAUGCUCACAUCGUGGCCAAAUGGGCGGAUAAAUUGGGUACUGAGUUAUGGGAACUCGCGAACGAAGUGGGUCGGCCCGAAGAAUUACUAGAAAAAUACAAAAGUAUGAACGCGCGAGUUGAAGAUAAGUCCGGAGAAGAGUUGAUCAACAUAAUUAGCGAAAAUGUAGGUAGGAUGUUACGUCGAAAGAUGGACGCAAUCACCUGCAUUCGAAUAGCAGCCGAAGAGGCUGCGGAGAACUGGGACCCAUCUUUCCUAGACGGCAACUUCUCUUACGUUUCCGGUAAAUGUAGUCCUGUCAUCGGUCAUGAUUCAGCGAACAAGAAGAAACACUGUGACAUUCACAAGAAGAAUGUGAACGUGUUCAGAGACAUGGAAUUGAUUUCGGACUCGCACUUCUAUGACAUUCCGGUAAAUACGACUUAUUCAUCGGUUCAUAUACCAACCAACGUGUAUGAUCUCACGCAAGAUGUAGCCGAAGAUAUUGCAAGGACUGAACCAUUGGACGAUAUAUUUCGUCAGAAUUAUGAAUCCGAUCCGGCAUUGUCAUGGCAAUACUUUGGUACAGUCACUGGUGUACUCCGACAAUAUCCUGCUAUGCAAUGGCGAAUGAAUCCCAAAGACACCAACGAUGAUGAUGAUGAUGAUGAUAAUACAGUUGAUGAUAAUAAUAAUAAUAACAAUGUUAGCAAAAAUAAUAACGAAAACAUCGAUAAUGUUAAUGAUGAUGACAACAACGGCGAUGACGAUGAUGAUUCUCCUGCUGAUCAGUACGAUUGCAGAGUACGUAGUUGGUUCAUCGAGGCGUCCACGUGCAGCAAGGAUAUGGUGAUUCUAAUGGACGUCAGUGGCAGCAUGACGGGUUUUGGAAAGACGAUCGCAAAGACGACAGUGAACUCGAUUUUGGAUACCUUAUCGAAUAACGAUUUCGUCACACUACUAAAAUAUAAUAACGGGACGACCGAACUCGUGCCGUGUUUUAAGGAUAUGCUAAUUCAAGCGACUCCAGAAAAUCUCGACACAUUCAAAAAAUCCAUGAACGAGAUUGAUACAGAUAACGUCGCCAAUCUCACGGAGGCCUUCACUAAAGCAUUCAGUCUACUUAAAACUUAUCGGGAGGAACGCGGUUGUGACGCCGACUCACCGUGUAAUCAGCUCAUCAUGCUUGUUACUGACGGUGUUCCUGGAGGAAAACUGGGGAAUAAUCUAAAGGAGGUAUUCAAAAAAUGGAAUUGGAAUGAAAAUAGUACUCAUGUACCGGUGCGAGUAUUUACAUAUCUUAUAGGCAAGGAAGCGACAAAGAUGGAUGAACUCCAGUGGAUGAUAAGAUCGUGUUUAAAUCGUGGCGACUACAAGCACAUACAGACGCAGGAGGAAGUGCGCGAACAAGUGCUCAAGUACAUUCCAGUCGUAGCGCGUCCUUUGGUACUUCAGAGUGUGGUACAUCCUAUCGUGUGGACGCACGCUUACGCUGAUAUCACGAAUCCAGCACUUGCCGCUUGGCUGUGGUGGGUGAUGAAGCACGGGCAACAAAAAUCGCGACUGGAAAAGUAUCUGAAAGGAAAACGGCUGGGCGUACGAAUAAACGAGGACGCAAUCUACAUACAGCAGCUGCACAAGGAUGAGAACAUUGAGGAAGAUUCAUCCACCCUGAACACCACAACCUGGCAAGAAUACAGUCUGUUGACUUCUGUAAGCACACCUGUGUUUGAUCGUAAAAGCAAUCGCAGCAACAUGACAGAUGCGGCGAAUGACACACUAUUCGGUGUGGCCGGUACAGACGUGCCGAUUGACGACAUCCGCAAACUUACGUUGCCAUAUAAACUCGGUGUGAAUGGCUACGCCUUUAUUGUAUCCAAUAACGGCUAUGUGAUAUUGCAUCCAGACCUCCGGCCAGUUUACAAAGGCCGGCUUAAAUUGAAUUAUAACAGCAUCGAUCUCACGGAGGUAGAGAUACUUGACGACGGACGCGAGCCGAGGAAUCCGGGUCCCGAAUUAUUGGAGCUGAGAUCAGCGUUGGUGGAUCACAAGCGAGGUAACAUGAUGGGAAUUUCCGUGAAAUUACAUUAUGAUGACAAUCGUCGAGUCAAUCUUGAGAAACGUGACUAUUUUUACGCGCCCCUACCUGGCACUCCAUUUGGUCUUGCGGUUGUUUUACCCAAUUAUGGAACUACCUGGAUUAAGGUCGGCGAUGAGAUUCGCAGAAAUCAGAAUAUGAAUGUGAAUGUGUCGGAUUAUUUUGUGGGCGAUCAUUGGCGCGUACAUCCUAGCUGGGUAUAUUGUCGUUACCAUUAUUUGGAAGGUCAUGAGUUUAAUAGGCCGGAAGACGAGUUGCGUCAUUUCUUGGCGCUGAUGAGCCGGCCUGGUUGGCGCUGGUCUGAGCAAUAUGAGGCUUAUUCAUCUAUAGAUGAAGAUAUUGACGAAGAACCCAACUGCGGUAGACAAACGCUCAAGCACGAUGACUACUAUUGCAACAAAGAACUUAUGCAGUUGCUUGUAUUUGAUGCCAAGGCGACGAACAACAGCUUCCGCGGUGACUACAUGGAGAAUUUACCUUCAAGGGCUCGGGAUCUCGCACGUCACUACGGUAUCUUUAUAAGAUUUAUCGCCACGCAAAGCGGGCUCACCAGGUGGCAUCAUCUUAAAGCCAGCAAACUGCCGAAUGUGGACGACAGUGUUGUUUUCGGUGAUCUUCAUAGACGAGCAGUGAAUGAGCCUUGGUACAAAGGCGCAAUCUUUCAAAGUGAAUUAGAUUCCGAAAGUAUUUCUUUAUCUGUUCCGUGGGAAGCAGGCGCGGACGCGAUAGUGACUGCUUCGAUGAGCCUGUCGCCCAAGGAUGGCGGCAAGAAAGCGCCAGCGGCUGUAGUGGGUUUUCAAAUGCCGAUGAAAGAUCUGUAUAAGCGGUUCAUUGCAUUGACCUCAGACAAUCAGACGACGAAUACGGUAAUAAAUUGCGCCCACAAUUGGAUUGACUGCUAUUUGCUAGACCAAAACGGCUAUGUAGUGAUCUCAGACGCACAUAAUGACACCGGACAAUUUAUGGGCACUCAGGAGGGUGCCGUCAUGCUAUCCAUGGUCAAACAGGGUCUUUACAAUCCGGUCGACAUUUAUGAUUAUCAAGCUUGGUGUCAGGAGACCCGAAUCGAUAACUCUGCCAACAGCUUAAUGGAACCGUUGCAACAUGUUGUAAGAUUGUUGUUCUGGUUUCUGUUGCGGUUGAUAUGGUACGCGACCCAGUUUGUAAACUUGCCUGGCAUUUAUGGCAAAGUUCACUUUGAUGAGGAUGCACCAGAUCCGCCGCCACCACCAAAACCCUAUCUUUAUCACUAUCCCUGUGAUCAAAAGCGAACACUCUAUAUGUUGAACAAAACCGUUGCUGUUAAAGGCGUCACCAAUCACUCCGAUUAUUGCUCGCGGCCUUUUUAUGCUCAGAGAGUAGCACAUACUAAUCUAUUGCUAGUUGUGGUGGACAGCAUGUACCCAACGUGCUACAAAAGAUUAGAAGUAACACCUGUCAACAUCUCACCCUUCGAGUACACAAAUAGCACGGGCGACAAACCCUGUCAUAAGAUUCCAUUGAACACUCUAAAAAGACGCAGGCUAAAGAAUUGCUUCACAGAACAUCCUCUGGAGCAUGUGACUUACGGCUGCGGAGCAUCUGAACUGAUGAUAUCUUUGUCACUGUUAUAUAUCACUAUUGCUAGGAUUCUGUAUAUCUUCAUGUGACGGCAAAUUAGCCAUCCUUGGUAUAUGAUCUUUUAUUCAAGAAGAUAUUCUAUUGUGGCUUAUAUUAUAUCCGAAGUAGAAAAGAAAGGCACAAAGGAUAAUUUUUAUGCGUUAUGAUACAACACUUAGAAAUGACAUACACAUGCGAAAUAAUACACAUCGAUGAGGCAGCAAAUUUUAUGAACGAUUUUUAUUAAUGAACAUAUCGUCCAAAAUAGUAACAAAUUUAGCAAUAUUGUUGUAGUCACGCG